UUGAAAGUGAAAGUACACUCCACAGUGUGGGAGUGAGCCUGAUCAGAGGGGCUCAAAGGCCCCCUUAUAGAAUUUUUGGGAGUUUCAAUACCCCCAAGAACCUGGACACCCUCCAGCAUUAACAUAUUUGGUGACUCAGGAAGGAGGAAGAGGUCUUCUUUUCUGUAGCAAAGUGACUGAAGUAAAGUGGAUGUUAGGAGAUGUCAAAAUAUGAGAAGAGCUGGAAAUAAAGAAAUAAAGAGGAUCAGUUGUUCAAACAUUAUAAGCAGGAUUUUCCAUAAAAGAAAAGAAAAAGGAUAGAUGGAUUGAUUUGUAUUUUCAUUGAUUAUUAUAGUACCAUAGAUAUCCAUGGGCUUCUCUGAUGGCCAAGAAUGUAAAACUAGGCCAAAUAUCAUGGUUUCUUCCAUUUAAAGCCAGAAAAACACCUUUGGCAGAAACAAAAUUAGAAGGUGGAAAGUUGCUGUUGGAUUGAGAUAUGAUUACCUUGGAUGUCCAACAACUUGUGGCAAUAUCAUCUAGUAAAUCUAAGUCAACACCAAUCUGUUGACUCAGAAGUCCCCCUUCUAGGCAUACCCCCAAGAUAAAUUUGUUCUCCAAAAAAAAAAAAAAAAAAAGUGAUUUCUUCAUAAGAGCCACAUCUGGAAACAACAAAAGUGCCCACAAAUAAGAAAACAAAUUAACACAUCACAGUGUGUUCAUACCAUUGAAUAUUGCAAUACAGCAAAAACUAAAUAUAGCAAUAGAAAUGAAGUAUUUCUACGAAGAGCAAUAUGCAUAAAUCUCCCAAACAUUAGAAAAAGAGCAGGAGAAGCCAAACACAAAAUAAUCUAUAGUGAAUUAUUCCCUCCAUAUGAAUUCCAAAAAUACCUAAAACUAUUGGAGAUUAAUUAUCCUCGCCCCUUCUCUGAAGGGAGAGGUAGCAGUUGGGAAUUCAUGGGGAAAGCAUGGGGAAACAUUCUGAUAUUCUGUUCAUAUUCUAUAUUCUGAAUAAUUAAGUAUUUUGGAAGGGGUUACAUAGGUGCAUAGCAUUAUGCAAAUCUUCGUCUAGGUAUAGUCUCAAGAUUUGGGCAUGUUAAUAUAUGAAUGUUACACUUCAGUUAAAACAGUUCAGUUUCUUUUAAUUCCCCUCAAAUAACAAUAUUAAUGAUAAUAGUUAGCCAUUACUGAAACUUUAUUAUGAUAAGAGUUUUGCAUUAAUUUCAUCACUUUCUCCCUAGAAUGAAGCCUAUUGCAUAGAAAGUUUUAAUUCCCAAUUCACAGAUUAUAAAAACUAAGGUUUAGAGAGGCUGACCAAGGUUCAACAGCAGGUUAAGUAGCAAAGCCAGGACUGGAACCUAGUCUGCAGUGGAGCUGAUCUGAAGGGAAGCAACUGGAAGCAGAGAAGAUGCAACUGGCCUGAAAGAUAAACAAGACAAAGUGGUUCCUACAACCUGGAGACCAAGAAGGCUGCCAGGCAGGAGCUGUGAUUGCAGCUGAAAGAUGUAGCCAGUCUUUAGCAACUCCACAUGGAGGAAGCCAGGAAAAUAAAUACUCAAAUCAAUCACAAUUUCUUUUUCUGCUAUUUCUUGUCCAUGCUCUGAAUUUUUCAAAAUCGACUAGAAGCUAGAGAGCAAGGGAGACCUUUGGUGAAUCUACUCUGAAUAUGGGGCACAGAGCAACGGGGAGAGAGGUGAUCAGGAGACACCCAGUUUAGGUGCCUGCCUCUUCCUCAUUAACAACUUCUGCUUCACUCAGCGUUCCUUUGUGCCCAGCUGAAAAACUGCAUUCUCCAUUCUCUUACAUUUGCUGUGACUAUGAUGUGGAACUGGAACUAACAAAAAGGAAGAACAACAGAGGAGGUGCAAGAAGCAAGAGAGGGAAAGCACCGUGGUGGAACAGUGGCUGAUAGUUUUCUGGUAGAAUGCUAUGAAAACAUUUAAUAAUGAGCAUGUUCCAUAUCCAGUGAUUUUACUUAUUUUUUAAUUUUGAUAGUUAAGUAUUUAAGUGUUCCUUUUGUGCCAGGGAAUGUAUUAUGGACCAAAGAGUAAUGAAAUAAAGAUGCUAUUUCACUUCCUGCACUCAUGGAAUAUGUUAAUGUGGAGAAAGGGAAGACAAAUGAUAUCCAUAUAUCUAUAUUUAUAUACCCUUCUGAUAAAGAUGAUGCCAGUAA